AGAGUUUGGAUCCUGGCUCAGAACGAACGCUGGCGGCAGGCCUAACACAUGCAAGUCGAACGGGACCUUCGGGUCUAGUAGCGGACGGGUGAGUAACGCGUGGGAACGUACCCUUUGGUUCGGAAUAGCCCUGGGAAACUGGGAGUAAUACCGGAUACGGUCGAGAGACGAAAGAUUUAUCGCCGAAGGAUCGGCCCGCGUUGGAUUAGGUAGUUGGUGGGGUAAUGGCCUACCAAGCCGACGAUCCAUAGCUGGUUUGAGAGGAUGAUCAGCCACACUGGGACUGAGACACGGCCCAGACUCCUACGGGAGGCAGCAGUGGGGAAUCUUAGACAAUGGGGGAAACCCUGAUCUAGCCAUGCCGCGUGAGCGAUGAAGGCCUUAGGGUUGUAAAGCUCUUUCAGUGGGGAAGAUAAUGACGGUACCCACAGAAGAAGCCCCGGCUAACUCCGUGCCAGCAGCCGCGGUAAUACGGAGGGGGCUAGCGUUGUUCGGAAUUACUGGGCGUAAAGCGCACGUAGGCGGACAGAGAAGUCAGAGGUGAAAUCCCAGGGGCUCAACCUUGGAACUGCCUUUGAAACUUUUUGUCUUGAGGUCGAGAGAGGUGAGUGGAAUUCCGAGUGUAGAGGUGAAAUUCGUAGAUUUCGGAGGAACACCAGAGGCCGAAGGCGGCUCACUGGCUCGAUACUGACGCUGAGGUGCCGAAAGCGUGGGGGAGCAAACCAGGAUUAGAUACCCUGGUAGUCCACGCCGUAAACGAUGGAAUGCCAGGUCGUCGGGGUAGCAUGCUA
rnacentral:rRNA from 1 species